GAUUAUGGCUCAGGACGAACGCUGGCGGCGUGCUUAACACAUGCAAGUCGAACGGGAGUAUUGAAGAAGCUUGCUUAGAGAUACUUUAGUGGCGGACGGGUGAGUAACGCGUGAGGAGCUGUCCUAUGCAGGGGGACAACAGCUGGAAACGGCUGCUAAUACCCCAUAAGCCGAGAGGUAAAAGGAUCAAUCCGGCAGAGGAGGUACUCGCGUCCUAUCAGCUAGUAGGUGAGGUAACGGCUCACCUAGGCGAAGACGGGUAGCCGGCCUGAGAGGGCGAACGGCCACACUGGAACUGAGAUACGGUCCAGACUCCUACGGGAGGCAGCAGUGGGGAAUAUUGGGCAAUGGGGGGAAACCCUGACCCAGCGACGCCGCGUGGGUGAAGAAAUCCUUCGGGAUGUAAAGCCCUGUUGUAUGGGAAGAGCGGAAGACGGUACCAUACGAGGAAGCCCCGGCAAACUACGUGCCAGCCGCCGC
rnacentral:rRNA from 1 species